UAAGGCUCUUACCAGAAAUGUUUGAGAACCCCUUGUGCACAAAUUCACAUCGUCUAAGUAUGUCAUACAUGGUGUGUCGUUUUAGACGCUGCAGACGCUGAUAAUUUGAGCCUCUGUCUUGACACAAACCGCAGCACAAAACCACAGACAGAAAAAGGUAAGAUGGCCCCCUCAAUGCCUUCAGUCUGCAUUCCACCACAGGGCCAAAGAAGCAUUCUGAAAUGAGAUCAAACCCAACCUGCGUUUAUAUCUAGCUUUAACAUGCUGCAGUAUAAUGGUAUGCUGUGGAUGUUGAUUUGCCUGUCUUACUGUGUCUUUUUCAGAUCAGGAUGAACCACCUCAAUCUUUUCACACCUCCUUUACCACCGAUGACACUUCAGAAGCUCCACAAGAAGGUUACUAUCUUGUUUUAAUGAUUUUAAAUUAUUAAGUGGAUUUGAUUCAUUUUUAAUUUAAGCAUUACCAACAUUUUUUUUUCUUUUCAGUUAUCUUUAAACUUGAAUUACAUCCAUUUGUUUCCAUAUUUCCAGAAUCUGCAGUGUCUAGCUUCACAGCGUCAGCAUCUCCCUCAGAGGCUACAGACCCACCUUUCACAGAUCCAGAUCCCCAGUAUGCUUCCAUCCCUGAGAUCACAGAGGAGGAAACGCCUUACUGAGGGAGAUGUUGUUGUUGCAGUAACUGACAGACUUUUCAAUAAACUGUGCUUGAAAUAACUUUUGAAAUCACUUAAUAUCACCUUAUUUGUAUCUGUCUUGUUGUCUCAGUCAUUAUUUGUGAAACAGAAACGUAGUGACAAUGUUGUUUAGCAAUAAAUCAAAUGAAUAAAUAAAGUAUUUGCUCAGCUGUGUGAUAAUAUAUUGUUGCUCUUCAUUACAACAUGUCUAAUCUGGCCUUUGGUGAGUAGGUUGAUAGCAGAAUGUGAAACAAGCAUCAACAAUAAAUGGCUAUAUAAAGCAUUUCAAAAUAGACUGAGG
rnacentral:lncRNA from 15 species